rnacentral:rRNA from 1 species
AGUGAACGCUGGCGGCAGGCCUAACACAUGCAAGUCGAACGGAAGCACAGUACGUGCUUCCUGUUACGGGUGGCGAUUGGCGGGCGGGUGCGGAAAACCUCCGUAUCUACUUUUUCGUGGGGGCUAACGUAGGGACACUUACGCUAAUACCGCAUACGACCUACGGGUGAAAGCAUGGGACCUUCUGCCCUUGCGCGAUUGAAUGAGCCGAUGUCGGAUUAGCUAGUUGGCGGGGUAAAGGCCCACCAAGGCGACGCUCCGUAGCUGGUCUGAGAGGAUGAUCAGCCACACUGGAACUGAGACACGGUCCAGACUCCUACGGGAGGCAGCAGUGGGGAAUAUUGGACAAUGGGCGAAAGCCUGAUCCAGCCAUGCCGCGUGGGUGAAGAAGGCCUUCGGGUUGUAAAGCCCUUUAGGUGGGAAAGAAAAGCAGUAGGUUAAUACCCCGCUGUUCUGACGGUACCCAAAGAAUAAGCACCGGCUAACUUCGUG